AGCGGCAGUAGGGAGAAACGAAAUACGGAGGUCCAGUCGCCGUGUGUGCCGUAGAGGCUGCUGUCGCGGACGGAAGAAUGAAGCUGCUAGCAAAGAAAAAGCGAACGGCCAAGCAGUUCUGCUGUGUUCCUCGGUGCGUGCCAGCGAGAUGGAAGGACAGCGAUAUUUCCGUUCACGCACUUCCCUCCGAGUGGAAAGGCUGAAGCCGCAGAACCAGGUGGAUCGCUAACCUCCGCAUCGGCAAGGCUGUGACGCUUACAGUGACUGUUUGCUCACGGCAUUUUGCACGGGAUAAUUUCUCCUUACCAGAUGUAGCAUGUCAAAGACAGCGGCUGAAAAAAAUGCAGUACCAACUGAAAACCUGCCAAGGACGUCAUGUUAUGAUGAGAACAAGGAUGCUCAUAUGAAAGAGCUUUCACUGGCAAGACUUCGCCGACGUGUGUAUCGGUCAGCCAGAAAUGAAUCAAGCAAAGAAACUGUUGCCUCCCCAUUAGAAGCAAAGGUGUUGCCCCAUGCACCUGUCAGCACGACCACCAUGGACGAUCUCCCAUCCCCUGACCGCAACAGCAUGGACCAAAUAAGUGACAAAGGAAAUAUGGAAUGUGCUUGCCAACCUGGCCUCCAGACAUUAAUGGCAGAGUACUCAAGAGAAGAAAAAGACGUGGCAAAUUUCCUACUAGAAAUGGCUUCACGGACAAGGCUUACAGAAAGCAAGGCUGCCCAAGUGACAUCGGGUACUUUUCCACAGAAGUUUGUGAACACGAUAAAUAGUAGCAACGUAAAUACAUUCACAGGCCUGCCAUCAUUCGAUGUUCUGAAUGCUCGUGUGACGUGCUACACAAAAAUUCAUCCACUUUCAGGACGGCACCAGUUAUGUGUAAAAACAAUUGCAUUGACAUUGGUGAAAUUGAAGCAUAUUUCCACUGCAUUCUUGAGUCACCUUUUUAACUGUUCUCUAACUACAUGUAGCAACAUAAUUGCAGAGACUGCUCAGUUGAUGUGUGAAAUUUUC